rnacentral:rRNA from 1 species
UACGUAGGGGGCAAGCGUUGUCCGGAAUCAUUGGGCGUAAAGGGCGCGUAGGCGGAUAUUUAAGUCUGGUGUGAAAGGUUAGGGCUCAACCCUAAAAGUGCAUCGGAAACUGGGUAUCUUGAGGACAGGAGAGGAAAGUGGAAUUCCACGUGUAGCGGUGAAAUGCGUAGAUAUGUGGAGGAACACCAGUGGCGAAGGCGACUUUCUGGACUGUAACUGACGCUGAGGCGCGAAAGCGUGGGGAGCAAACAGG